CGAGUGGCGGACGGGUGAGUAAUACUUAGGAAUCUGCCCAUUAGUGGGGGACAACAUUCGGAAACGGAUGCUAAUACCGCAUACGCCCUACGGGGGAAAGCGGAGGACCUUUCGGGGCUUCGCGCUAAUGGAUGAGCCUAAGUCGGAUUAGCUUGUUGGUGAGGUAAAAGCUCACCAAGGCGACGAUCCGUAGCUGGUCUGAGAGGACGAUCAGCCACACUGGGACUGAGACACGGCCCAG
rnacentral:rRNA from 1 species